AGCUUCGAGGUGUUUACACAUCAAAAUGCAAGUUUGAAGUAGAGCCCAAACAGGCUCCGGGGCUU
rnacentral:tRNA from 2 species